CAAGCAGACCGCCUUAUCGCUUCAGGUCUUUUUUGGCCCCGAGGAGGAAAGUCCGGACACCAUAGGGAGGCAUAGCGGCUAACGGCCGUCUGGCUUAGUUUAAGUCAAGGACCAGUGCAACAGAAAGGAUGUACAGGUAAUGCUGUAGUGAAAUCAGGUAAACUCUAUGCGGUGAAAUGUCAUGUAAACCGGCAAUUAAGUGUUUCCCGCGCGAUGCUGGAGGGUAGACAGAUAGAGCUUUUGAGUAAUCAAAAGUCCAGAUAAAUGAUAAGGUAUUACUUCGGUAAGAACAGAAUCCGGCUUACAGGUCUGCUUUUUUA
rnacentral:RNase_P_RNA from 1 species